AUACGGAGGGUGCAAACGUUGUUCGGAAUCACUGGGCGUAAAGGGCGCGCAGGCGGUUUGAUUAGUCAGAUGUGAAAGCCCACGGCUUAACCGUGGAAGUGCAUUUGAAACUGUCAGACUUGAGUACUAGAGGGGAAAGUGGAAUUCCCGGUGUAGAGGUGAAAGUCGUAGAUAUCGGGAGGAAUACCGGUGGCGAAGGCGACUUUCUGGCUAGAUACUGACGCUGAGGCGCGAAAGCGUGGGGAGCAAACAGGAUUAGAAACCCUUGUAGUCC
rnacentral:rRNA from 1 species